UGUCCAGACUCCUACGGGAAGCAGCAGUGGGGGAUAUUGCACAAUGGGGGGAACCCUGAUGCAGCGACGCCGCGUGGGUGAAGGAGUAUUUCGGUAUGUAAAGCCCUAUCGGCAGGGAAGGAGCAAGACGGUACCUGACUAAGAAGCCCCGGCUAACUACGUGCCAGCAGCCGCGGGAAUACGUAGGGGGCGAGCGUUAUCCGGAUUCACUGGGUGUAAAGGGAGCGUAGACGGCCAUGCAAGCCAGGGGGGAAAGCCCGGGGCCCAACCCCGGGACUGCCCUUGGAACUGUGCGGCUAGAGUGCGGGAGGGGCAGGCGGAAUUCCUGGUGUAGCGGUGAAAUGCGUAGAUAUCAGGAGGAACACCGGCGGCGAAGGCGGCCUGCUGGACCGCGACUGACGUUGAGGCUCGAAAGCGUGGGGAGCGAACAGGAUUAGAUACCCCCGUAA
rnacentral:rRNA from 1 species